AUAGGUAUAUAUUACCAGACCACAACUUUUUUAUUUUCUUAAGGCAACAUUUAUGCAUAAUAAAACGUUGGAAUCCAUAAAUUAACCAUCUUCUAGAUGAUUCAAGAUAAACACUUUUUUUUUAUAAUCUUGGUGUGAUCACAAAGACUUUCUAGGUCCAAAGACUAAUCGCCAAGAGGCCCAUAAAAAUCUGGUUUUUCUUGCCACUUAAGGCGUUUAUGGAUGGCCAAGGGGAAUCGAACCCAUGACGAGCCUCCGGAUAGAGACACUUAACCAAUUAUUUGAAUUUUCAUGAGGUCCAGUCAAUCGAAGCUAGUAUUUUCCUUUUUUUUAGAAACCUAACCUAUAUUAGGGGUUAUCUGAAGAUGUCAAACUAGACCAAAAAUUAUGUGGUUCAUUGGAACUAGAUGAUGACCACCCUUUUUUACGGAGAACAAUUUACGUUUCAUCUUCUUUUUUUUAGAAAACUUAAAAAUAUGUAUAUAGAGCAAUUAACAAUUAGAUGAGUGGAUACAACAGAAAUAUUCCAUAAGAAAAAGAAAAAAAGAAAAAAAGAAAAGAGAAUUAUUAAGAAGAAAGAUAAACAUGGCGAGAAAAAUAAACAUGGCGAAACGUGGAAAUGUCGUCGCUUUCAUCUCUCUUCUGAUGAUUUUCUUGUUGGUUUUGACAGGGGAAGCUCAGGAGAAAACUAAGUAUACUAAAGCCAAGAGUGCGCCAACUGAAGUCUGUUUGGAUCGUAAUUCUGGUGAUGCUGUAUGCACUCAGUAUUGCGUUGCAGAAACAAAUCCGAAAAGAUGUUCUGGAAAAUGUUUCCCAUAUAAAAAUGCGGGAAGGAAGGAAUGCUACUGCCAUCCAUGCUAAAAAUGACAAUAGCUGGUUUUGAUUGUUUGUGUUUGUGUGUGUGUGUGUUUUUUUUUGAAAAAUUAUAUUUUUAACCGGUCAAUACUUUGGAGUAGUUUUCUAAAAGUUAUAAAUGCCAGUUUUAAAAGUUUUCACCAAAUUUUAAGAUAAAAACAUAAAUCAUAUUUUCUUGGGUUUGACCAAAAAAUUCUUUUCUUUUACUCAGAUGAGAUUUUUUAUUUUCAUAUAUUAUAUAGUUAUUUAGAAACUCAAACAUAUUCUAAAAACAUCAGACAAUCAAAGCCAAUAUACAUAAAAUAUUGGAAAUGAAAAUAAGAUUGUUUUUAUUAAGUUAUGCAUUUUUUAACAUUAAGUUAUGCAUUUUUCAGUGAUCUAAUUUCUAAGAAGUUAUUAUAAUAAAGAAAUGUAGUUUUUUUUUUUUUGAACAAGAUGUAUUUUUUCCUUUCAGACUCAAAUUAUAAUGUUUACAAAAAAUUAUCUAGCACUCAUUCAGAUACAAUCGGACAAUCUGUUAUCAAAUCUUAAUAUUAAAACAAAAAGUUUUUUUUUUGAGAAAGGGUUUACUAUUAAAUUGCAGAAAAGAAAGGAAAACAUCACCAGCCAUAAGGCAUUGUUUGCUGAGCUCGUGCCCAAUUUAAAUACAUAAAUACAUAAACAACCCCACAAUUUAAACCCAUAAAAAACAAAAAGAUUUCAAUGGACCAAAAGAGAUUUUCUUACUGGAUACAUUAACCGUAAGAUCAAAGCCGUGCCAACAUUAACAGCUGCCCCAAGCCAAAAACAAAGUCAAAUGAAAAAUAUCUACAAUAAUAUGAAGGCUAUUGUAGUUCAGUGUGCAAGAAAAUUUCUUUAUUUAUACAAUUUAAAUAAUUAACAAAUAUUUUCAUAUUUUAUUUAGUUUUUUUUUUAAAUCUCUGUUUUUGUAGUCUCAUCUUUUGUUUAACUCGUGAAGCUAUUAACAAAGCUACAUGUUUAUAUAGAAUCACAUUACAUGAAACAAAUUAUAAGAAAUGUCUUUAGUGUUUUGUAUAUUUUAAAAGAUGCCCUAGGCCAAUGCUUCUUAUUUUCUCAUGUAAGCACGACAUUGCGUAAGAUACUAACAAUCUUUAUCCACCUUUCUUAUUGGUCGAUUGUAUUUGUAUAGCUGCUUCAUAUUCAAACGACUUGGUGAGCUCAUAAUACAAAUGAUAUGUGAAAUAUAUCAGUUAUGUGAAAAUGCAUUGUUGCAGAGUUACAAACAUUUCAUACAAAGCGAUCAUUAGCUCUAUUUCACUCUAAAGAUGUACUGCUUCUGCUUCCUGAAACUGUUCUCGUUCCGCAUAUAUCAACUUACCUAAAUCAUGAAAACAGUAAAGACCUGUUUGCUAUAUUGAGGAUAUGUAUUUUAUAUGAGGUUUAACAACUAUCAUGUUAUAUAUGGCCUGCGAAAGAGAAAAGACGAUUAGAUUAAAAUAUACGGGAAGACGAAUCUACACACAGAUAUAUAUAUAUAUAUAACUUAUCUAAAUAAAAAUGUUUUAAUAAGUACCAUAUACUUAUUACCAUAUAUUAUAGAGCAGAAGGCAUGUUAUAUAUUUUUACAUCAAGCAUCAAACGGUAGUUGAUGAUGAGCUACAAGACUGAACCUAAUUUAAGUUCUCUUAUAUUCUAUUGCACACUAGAGAAAAAAUCUGUCUUUGAUACUGCAAAAGGUUUGAAAAGAUAUUUGCCUCGCAUAUCAAAAAGUUUCUAAACAUAAAUGUUGAAAUCUAAAACUGGAAAUCUAGUUUAUAGACUAAUCAAACAAUAAUAAGAGAGAUUAGGGCCAAAGAUUCGGUUUAUUGAGUCACUACAAGAAAACCUGGUCAUGACGACCACGAAUUACGACUACAAUAGUGUCGUCGUAAUGUGACAUCAGGUUUACGUCGACGAAGCAUGAUGUCAUCCAAAAAUAGACGUAAAUUUGCUAUCAAAUGUUUUAGUCGUAAAUUAGUCGUAAAGUAACGUCUUUUUAACGGCGACCUAGUUGUAGAAUUGCUACGAAAAAUCUUUGUCGUAAAUUAGUCAUAAUUAUACGACUAGAUUACGACAACCUUUGAUUUCUUCGUAAACACGUUGGUAAAUUACGUCUAUUUUCCAUCUAAUAUUUUCCAUCUAAUUAACGACCUUAUUACGUGGAAUGCAGUUGUAAAUUAGUAGUAAAGUUUAUGGUGACAUAAAUUGGUCGUAACAUUCCCACCUACCAAAAUCGAAUUUUUUUUAUAAAUAUGCUCUCCUCGCUCUCAUUCUCAAAUGCACAAAAAAACAAAAAAAAAAGUUAAAAAUGUCUCGAGAUAUCUAUGAGCUUCGGAAUUGGAUGUAUGCACACAAAGAUUCUGUGGGAAGAGUGACAAGCGAAUUUCUCAACGGAGCAGAGACAUUCAUGUACCAGGCCGGAAAUACAUCUCUCACGCAAGAAACAAGUAAAAUGUUCUGUCCCUGUCAUAAAU